UAUCCGCUCCGCAUGUGAUUUUUUGCUAGCUGGGAGAAUCUGAUACAUUGUAAGUAUUUGCUGGCAAAAAGACACAUUUACUUGAUACUGGCUGCCUAAAUGAGUGUUUAGCCUUUUUCCUAGCUUGGAAGUUUAUGCAUUAUGUAAAUUUUCGCUGGCUGGUUCAACAUAUACCAAAGUGUGAAAAGAUACCUGGGAAAUUUGCCUCGAAAGCUUCUCCUCUUUCAUAAUAGCACGUGGGUGAAUAAGUGCGGAGAGUGCAGCGGCCGAGCAAGGGACUGCGGAAGAGGCUAACGAAGCAAGAAGGGAAACGAGGCCAUUUAUAUAGCCAGUAUCUGGGUCCGUUUGCGAACGUCUCACACAGCAAAGAACAAAACUUAUUAUUAUCUAGUGGUAUUUUUGAUCAAGUACUUUUGCUUCUUAACACGUGGAACAAGAUGCAGUCGAUAUAAUUAACGCCGCUUUUCUGGUAUAACGCCAGCAUGUAUGAAUGACAAAGAAAAAAGUGGUCUUCUCCUCAGUUGUUCAUGGAAUACGAGAAGGUACGUUUUACCACUUUGAAUCUUUACCGAAAAUAUCUCCUAUGUAUAGUUGCAUAUUCGUUAUAUAGUUUUCUGGCUUGCUGCAUUUUGAGCAUGGCUUAGUAUUUCAUUUAUUUGUGGAGCACCUCCUUGGACAAAUUGAUCGCUUUGAAUACCUCGCAUGUGUGUCGAUACUGAAGAUUUGACUUUCACUGAAAGGGCGUUACGACUGUUAGCCCCUCCAACCCCUAACACACAGCAGUGUAGCACUGUGGUGUAACUCUCGCUAUAGCUUCAAAUUUCCGUUCUUUUUUUAUUCUAAUUUAGGGUUUGUUCGAGAGGGAUGUUUUUGGCGAUGUAAAUGUACACCCAUAAAAGUAUAAUUAACUAAGACAUCAAUGAUGCKGUCAGAAAAGAACCCCUUCUGUAAUGACUAGAUGUCCGGUUUCUCCAAGCUAAAUGCUGAUAAGAUGCAAAGCAAGUUGCCGAAAAGGCGUUAUUUGUAUAUAGAUGCCGGGCUGCAUAUUUUUAAUGAUCACUACUUUGAUUCUAGCAAACAUAUAUUUCUUAUGCUUAUUUGUAUUUUAAAAUGUUAUCUUAUCUAUAAGGCAAUCAUCCCGAUCUAGCUGACUCUGAGCAUUGACGAAGGUUUAUUUCAUUGUAUCUCCAAUAGCAUUGCCUUUACUUUUUUAAGUAAAGUGAAAAGCGAAACCAAUAGAGUAAAACAAAAAAUUCUUUUCUUAAGAGAAAAGAAAAACAAGUUGUUUUUCCUUUAAAGACGAAUUAUUUUGCAUUCAAUAGCAGUCAGUACCUUUUUAACAUGUUUCAUUYAUUGAGAAAUUACUUGAAAGCGGCCAUUAGGCAACAAAAUAAAAAUCGUACACCCUAUAGAAAAUGCAAAGACCACUGACUAUGUUUUCUAAUAGUGGCAAGAAAUAUGA